ACGUACACUCCUACGGGAGGCAGCAGUGGGGAAUAUUGGACAAUGGGCGCAAGCCUGAUCCAGCCAUGGCGCGUGAGUGAUGAAGGCCCUAGGGUUGUAAAGCUCUUUCACCGGUGAAGAUAAUGACGGUAACCGGAGAAGAAGCCCCGGCUAACUUCGUGCCAGCAGCCGCGGUAAUACGAAGGGGGCUAGCGUUGUUCGGAUUUACUGGGCGUAAAGCGCACGUAGGCGGACUAUUAAGUCAGGGGUGAAAUCCCGGGGCUCAACCCCGGAACUGCCUUUGAUACUGGUAGUCUUGAGUUCGAGAGAGGUGAGUGGAAUUCCGAGUGUAGAGGUGAAAUUCGUAGAUAUUCGGAGGAACACCAGUGGCGAAGGCGGCUCACUGGCUCGAUACUGACGCUGAGGUGCGAAAGCGUGGGGAGCAAACAGGAUUAGAUACCCUUGUAGUCCCAUGAU
rnacentral:rRNA from 1 species